UAAUUGAUUGGACGUUACCCACAGAAGAAGCACCGGCUAACUCCGUGCCAGCAGCCGCGGUAAUACGGAGGGUGCGAGCGUUAAUCGGAAUUACUGGGCGUAAAGGGUGCGUAGGUUGUUUAUUAAGUUAUCUGUGAAAUACCUGGGCUCAACCUGGGCAGGUCAGAUGAUACUGAUAGACUCGAGUAUAGGAGAGGGUAGUGGAAUUUCCGGUGUAGCGGUGAAAUGCGUAGAGAUCGGAAGGAACACCAGUGGCGAAGGCGGCUAUCUGGCCUAAUACUGACACUGAGGCACGAAAGCGUGGGGAGCAAACAGGAUUAGAUACCCUGGUAGUCCACGCUGUAA
rnacentral:rRNA from 1 species